CCCACUCUCAGGUCGCUAUCGUGAAUCUUGAGCAUCUGCUACACCCCCUGCUCCCGUAUAACCAAGGUCAUACGAUCAUCGCAAGACACACACAACCACAAGCACAAACAAAUAUGGGUAAGCCACCAUAACAAAACCAAUAACAAUAAAAUAAAAGGUGUACAAGAUAAGUAAACACAACAUAACAAUAACUCACUAUCUAUAAUGCUAUCUACAAACAGAAUCAUUAUGAUUUUAACAUUCUCUUUAACGAUAUCAUUACUAUACUAUCCACAUUUAUCCUUAUCAACAUCAUCUCUAGACACGAGUUAUUAUGAAUUCUCAACACUUUCAUGAAAGACAUUGGUUUAUCUCCUGUACCUAACCCUACCACCUGUAGCUUUCCCCAUACAGGUUCACGAACAUAACACCUGUAGCUUCCCCAUACAGGUUUAUAACCGUACUACCUGUAGCUUCCCCAUACAGGUUCAUAAUCACACUACCUGUAGCUUCCCCAUACAGGUUCACAAUCAUANNNNNNNNNNNNNNNNNNNNNNNNNNNNNNNNNNNNNNNNNNNNNNNNNNNNNNNNNNNNNNNNNNNNNNACAAUCAUACGGUAGAUAAUUCAUAAUUCAGGAUUUACUAGGUACAGGAUAGACACAUCUCUCUCCUCAAGUGUAUAAUACUAAUAAAGUCAAUCAAACUAAAUACUAUUCACACCUCUCUUUUCAUCACUUACACAUCAAUAUAAAGUCUUAUAUAAAAACAAUAUAAAUUUCUAUAAUAAUUUAAGAGUCACAACUCUAUCCAAAGUAAUAACUCAUUAUUACUUUAAUUAAUCAUUAAAAUCUCACUACUUCUAUUUUUGAAAGCAGAUUAAUUUCUAAUUCCAAAAUAAUUAUUUUAAAUUAUUUUGAUUAACAAUUCAUCUUCAAUUACCUUCCUUUUCAAAUCAAAUUAAUUUCUCUUUCCAAUAAAUUAAUUUGAUCACAAUUAAUUACCAAUUAAAUAAUAAUUAUUUUCUUCCUAUAAUUAUAACAAUUAAUAUUAUAGAUUAAUGAUUUCAUUUCUCCUUUUACACUUUAAUUUUAUUAAUUAAAGUCAAUAAUUAUGAAUUCAUUAUAAUUAUGUUCACGACAUAACUAACCCAAUUAAAUUCAGAUUAUCAUUGUUUAAGUUUCUGCUCAACAUUGGGCCGUCGUACCCAAAAUUGCCAGUCCAACUCCAAACUGUCCAAGCCAGAACCCAAUACUAGUAGUCUACAGGCCCAACGGCCCAAUAUUGCUUACCACCGCCAACCCUAGCUGCAGCCACCACGACUUCGCUGCCAACCACCACGCGUAACGGUUGCCGCUGCCCCCAAAACGACGGCGAGAAAUCUAACCGAAAACGAACCAGAAACGCCAUCCCCAUACACAGAAACAAAACACAAUUCCCUAAUUCAAAGUGAAUGAACCCUCUAUCUCAAAUCAGAAGAAAUCUCAGUAACCCCCCAAAAAUCAGAAUCAAAAAGGGAAACAGGAAAACCCAAAAUCUCCAACGAAACCCUAAUUGCAAACGUAGAGUCCUUCUCCGCGGAAUGCAGAAACCCUCGUCGCGCCUUCUUGCGUCGCCUUCGCACAAUAGCCGCGCCUUUCUGCGAGCCAACAUGAAGAGAAACGAGAAACCAAAACAGCCACGUCCUCGCGCAGUCGCCGUACGCUCUCCGCAACACACGCCACCACGAAAGAAAACACUGCGAGAAAGAGACGAGGGAGAGUCUGAAAUUUGAAUCCUCGCAGAAACGCCACCGACGCAGGACGCCCUCGCCGCGUCUCGCUCUCGCUACCAAAGUUGCGUCAGCCGCCGUGAAGAAAAGAAAAGAAGCCUAAAGCCUUUAGGUUUCGCGUGAUGAAGAAAGAAAAAGAAGAGAAUGGGAAAAAUUAGGGCAACUUGUGUGACCCUUCCAAAAGAAAAGGGCUGGACCCUAAAUUUUGGUUCAAGCCCAAUUCAAAACAGAAAGAGAAAGAAAACAACACUGGACUUAUGCAAACAAUUAACCCUAAUUUCAUUAACUCCCAUUAGUCUCUCAUUAAAAGGAUCUCCAAACCCUAAUUUUUAUCUUAAUUGUAAUUAAUUGAACCUUUUGAUCUCUUCUAAAAUAGAAUUCAAUACGUGAAUUCUUAUAAAAUUUAAUGAUGUGAAUUCUAAGAAUUCAUGUACAUAGAAUUCAAUUGCUUGAAUUCAAAAUGAUACACAAUAAACAAUGUAAUUUAUUUAUGAUUAAAAUCAUCAAUCAAAAUUCAAACAUUCUUCUAUCACAUCAAAGUAUUCAAUUAGUAUUCAAUCAAAUUAAUCACCAUUUAAACGCAAAGAUAGCUUUUUUAUGAUCAUAAAAUAUACUUAAAGAUAAUUUUCCACAUUGAUUAUACAAUAAAGAAAAAGUAAGCUUCCCAUACCUUAGCCGAUAAAAAAAAUUAAGCUUUCACCCCUUCUUCUACAGACUCUCCUUCCUUUCAGUCUCUCUGUCUAAUACUUUCUUUUUCCUCUUCUCACCAAAGUAACACAAAAGUAACGUAACUCUUUUUAUGUUUUCCGUUCUUUAUAAAUAAAAUUUAAAGUAACUGUUCUCCCUAAAAUCUUUCACUCCUAUUCCUAAAAUCUCUCCAGCACUAUUUUAAAAACACAACUGCUUUAUCUUUUAUUUUUCUAUUUAAUGUAUGACUUUACUUUCUAUACUCCUAUUUAUAACAUCUGCACCCCAAUUACAAAAAUAAAAAAAACAUUUUUACCCUUAAGCAUACAUAUCUACCAGUAAGCCAACACAUCACAUUACAAUAACAUAAUAAAAUAUAGAAUUUUCUCGGGUCUUACACAAAGGCAAAUCGUGUCUCUUUGUUCAUGUUUCGACUACCAUUUUCACUAGAACCAUGACUUUAAAUAUAGCAAAAACAAUAUGGGACUAUCUAAUGGAGGAAUACGCAGGAGGUGAUAAAAUUCGAGGCAUGCAAGUGUUGAAUUUGAUGAGGGAAUUUGAGCUUCAAAGGAUGAAAUAGUUUGAGACAAUUAAAGAAUACUCAGACAAAUUACUUGGCCUUGCUAACAAGGUCAGAUUACUUGGCACUAAUUUUUCUGAUUGCAGAAUUAUUGAAAAAAAAUCCUUGUAAGAGUGCCAGAAAGAUAUGAGACAUUCAUAACCACCUUAGAGAACACAAAGGAUCUGACCAAGAUCACUUUGGCGGAAGUGUUACAUGCCUUGCAGGCCCAAGAGCAACGAAGGCUUAUAAGGCAGGAACCUGUGGUUAAAGGUGCUUUACCAAUAAAGCAUCAUGUUGCUGGAACUAGUAAGAAGAAAAACUUCAAGAAGAAUCCGCCAACAAGCAGCGAAAACAUCAUGGACAAAGGCAAGGAUAGAAAGAAAAAUUAUCCAUCCUGUCAACAUUGCAGAAAAAUGGGACAUCCACCAUUUAGAUGUUGGAAAAGACCAAACGCGAAGUGCAGUAAAUGCAAUCAUCUUGGACAUGAAUUUAUAAUUUGUAGAAGCAAAUUUCAACAGCAUGAAGCCAUUGCCCAAGUUGUUGAGCAAGAUGAAGAAGGUCAUAUUUUUACUGCAGCAUGUUUUCCAACAAGGAG
rnacentral:lncRNA from 1 species